GGCCAAUGCUAUGGGGGUCCGACUAGGCCAUGCGAGUCAUGGGGCGCGCUCUGCGCGCACCGGCGGACGGCUCGGUAACACGUCGGUAACCUACCCUCGGGAGGGGGAUAACCCCGGGAAACUGGGGCUAAUCCCCCAUAGGCCUGAGGUACUGGAAGGUCCUCAGGCCGAAAGGGUCUUUGACCGCCCGAGGAUGGGCCGGCGGCCGAUUAGGUAGUUGGUGGGGUAACGGCCCACCAAGCCGAAGAUCGGUACGGGCCAUGAGAGUGGGAGCCCGGAGAUGGACACUGAGACACGGGUCCAGGCCCUACGGGGCGCAGCAGGCGCGAAACCUCCGCAAUGCGGGCAACCGCGACGGGGGGACCCCCAGUGCCGUGGCAUCGCCACGGCUUUUCCGGAGUGUAAAAAGCUCCGGGAAUAAGGGCUGGGCAAGGCCGGUGGCAGCCGCCGCGGUAAUACCGGCGGCCCGAGUGGUGGCCGCUAUUAUUGGGCCUAAAGCGUCCGUAGCCGGGCCCGUAAGUCCCUGGCGAAAUCCCACGGCUCAACCGUGGGGCUUGCUGGGGAUACUGCGGGCCUUGGGACCGGGAGAGGCGGGGGGUACCCCUGGGGUAGGGGUGAAAUCCUAUAAUCCCAGGGGGACCGCCAGUGGCGAAGGCGCCCCGCUGGAACGGGUCCGACGGUGAGGGACGAAGGCCAGGGGAGCGAACUGGAUUAGAUACCCGGGUAGUCCUGGCUGUAAAGGAUGCGGGCUAGGUGUCGGGCGAGCUUCGAGCUCGCCCGGUGCCGAAGGGAAGCCGUUAAGCCCGCCGCCUGGGGAGUACGGCCGCAAGGCUGAAACUUAAAGGAAUUGGCGGGGGAGCACCACAAGGGGUGGAGCGUGCGGUUU
rnacentral:rRNA from 1 species